rnacentral:rRNA from 1 species
CAGCAGCCACGGUAAUACGUAGGUGGCAAGCGUUGUCCGGAAUUAUUGGGCGUAAAGGGCUCGCAGGCGGUUUCUUAAGUCUGAUGUGAAAGCCCCCGGCUCAACCGGGGAGGGUCAUUGGAAACUGGGAAACUUGAGUGCAGAAGAGGAGAGUGGAAUUCCACGUGUAGCGGUGAAAUGCGUAGAGAUGUGGAGGAACACCAGUGGCGAAGGCGACUCUCUGGUCUGUAACUGAUGCUGAGGAGCGAAAGCGUGGGGAGCGAACAGGAUUAGAUACCCCGGUAGUCCCUGUCUCUUAUAC